rnacentral:rRNA from 1 species
AUUGAACGCUGGCGGCAGGCUUAACACAUGCAAGUCGAGCGGAGUGAUGGUGCUUGCACUAUCACUUAGCGGCGGACGGGUGAGUAAUGCUUAGGAAUCUGCCUAUUAGUGGGGGACAACAUCUCGUAAGGGAUGCUAAUACCGCAUACGUCCUACGAGAGAAAGCAGGGGAUCACUUGUGACCUUGCGCUAAUAGAUGAGCCUAAGUCGGAUUAGCUAGUUGGUGGGGUAAAGGCCUACCAAGGCGACGAUCUGUAGCGGGUCUGAGAGGAUGAUCCGCCACACUGGGACUGAGACACGGCCCAGACUCCUACGGGAGGCAGCAGUGGGGAAUAUUGGACAAUGGGGGGAACCCUGAUCCAGCCAUGCCGCGUGUGUGAAGAAGGCCUUAUGGUUGUAAAGCACUUUAAGCGAGGAGGAGGCUCUUUUGGUUAAUACCCAAGAUGAGUGGACGUUACUCGCAGAAUAAGCACCGGCUAACUCUGUGCCAGCCGCCGCAGUAA